rnacentral:rRNA from 1 species
CGCGUAGGCGGUUUGAUAAGUCAGAUGUGAAAGCCCACGGCUUAACCGUGGAAGUGCAUUUGAUACUGUUAGACUUGAGUACCAGAGGGGAAAGUGGAAUUCCCGGUGUAGAGGUGAAAUUCGUAGAUAUCGGGAGGAAUACCGGUGGCGAAGGCGACUUUCUGGCUGGAUACUGACGCUGAGGCGCGAAAGCGUGGGGAGGCAAACA